GUGAAUCAUCAAAUUUUUGAACGCAAAUUGCACUCUCUGGUAUUCCGGAGAGUAUGUCUGUUUGAGUGUCAGUUUAAAUAAAAAUCCGUGUUGUUGCUGCCUUUCGUGGUGACGCCCCGGAUUUGGGUUGUCUUUCCUUUGGUUAAGUGACCUAGAAUUUUUCAUGAUUUUUUUCGAACGUAUUUACAUGAUUUUACAUACGUUUUCGUUAUCGAAUACUAGGAGUGGUCAUCCUCUUAAU
rnacentral:misc_RNA from 1 species